rnacentral:tRNA from 1 species
UCCUGGUGGCUCAGCUGGUAAAGCAUCUGCCUGCAAUGCAGGAAACUCCGGUUCAAUUCCUGGGUCGGGAA